AAGUCGUAACAAGGUUUCCGUAGGUGAACCUGCGGAAGGAUCAUUAACACGUAUCCAAACGUUAAAACCCCCCCCGUGAACCUUCAUCCUGCUCUUGUAACCCGCGUAGUUCGCAAUCUCUGAUAAAUCAUAGCCCGGAAAGUUUACAUUGAGCUUCACAUUAAACUGUGGGAUUAUUAGGGGGCAUGGGGACCCUUUGGCAAAGCUCCUGCCCGAGUGUACGGUCUACAGGAAUCGUAGAAGCGCUAUCCUUGCACAAUCAAUGACACUUUCCGACACUGACUGCUUGGAGAAACAUUGCCUAUAGAACUACCGCUUGAUUGUAACUGUUCCAAUGUUCGCACGUAGCCAGAGGUCUCUGAAUGGGUAAAAAAACCGAACAACUGUUAACAAUGGAUAUCUUGGUUCUC
rnacentral:misc_RNA from 1 species